rfam:Dipodomys ordii contig_24017, whole genome shotgun sequence.
GGUGGCUCAGUGGUAGAGCACUUGCCUUGUAUGCUUAAGGCCCUGGGUUCGAUUCCUCAGCACCA